GUCCCUACGGGAGGCAGCAGUGAGGAAUAUUGGUCAAUGGGAGAGAUCCUGAACCAGCCAAGCCGCGUGAGGGAAGACGGCCCUAUGGGUUGUAAACCUCUUUUGUCGGAGAACAAAACCCGGGACGAGUCCCGGACUGCGUGUAUCCGAAGAAAAAGCAUCGGCUAACUCCGUGCCAGCAGCCGCGGUAAUACGGAGGAUGCGAGCGUUAUCCGGAUUUAUUGGGUUUAAAGGGUGCGUAGGCGGUCCGUUAAGUCAGCGGUAAAAUUGCGGUGCUCAACGCCGUAGAGCCGUUGAAACUGGGG
rnacentral:rRNA from 1 species